rnacentral:lncRNA from 1 species
GUUCGCUUCUGUCUUCGUGUACCUAAAAGAACCAUCCGUUUGGCCGAUUCGGGUAAUAAUCCCAAUUGUGCGGUACUGGAACAGUACCCCUUUGGGAUUAUUAUACGUCUAUCGGUAUUACGUUUUUAUAAAAAAUACAAUAGAUAAAUAUUACUUGCGUUUCUCCAAGAUUUUUUUGACUCGACAAGACUAUUCUUUCAAGCGUCUCAACAGACUACAAUCGUCGCAUCAACAAAAGGUAACUAUAUUAUGAAUAAUUAAUAGUAUCUUAUGAAUAACAUUUACAAACAUUACAACUUUCACUUUUGUAGCUCUUUAGUUGUUUAAUUAAUUAAUAACUACCUACUGGUGGCAUGUUUUUCGAUCGAUUUUUGUUUAAGUAUGAUUGAACCUGUCCGCCCAAAAUAUUGAUUUAGACUGCGGUUCCAAUGUUUUUGUUACCAUUUAUCAAUUAAAAUAUUUUCAUUUCAGGGUUUGAACAAAAAAUUUAAGUUUUUGACGGUUCACUAAAGAAUUACUUUCCAGAAAAAUCAGAAUACAUGCAGGAUGGCUGUAUGCUAUAUCGAAUACUAUGAAUUGAGACAGAAAUCCUACAGGUCUUUAUUAUAUUUAAAAUAGUAUAAAUUUAUGCUUUUUUUAUGAAUUAAAAUUUAGUCUAUAAUAUUGAAAUGAUAUAACUAUUAUAACUUUUAUUGUUUAUUUUGUUUACCAGAAUGGAUGCUAGAAUAGCUGAUAGUAUAAUAUUAACAUAAGCAACAGAAUUUAUAUGGAAACAGAAAGGGACUUUGACAAUAUUCACAGGUCAUGUGUCUGAUAUACAAGUUUGAACAUCAUACGUGAUGAAUUUAAUAGUUUUUUUUAUAACUNACACAUCUACUCAAUAACAUAGAAGAAAUAUUAUAGUUUUAACUUAUGGAGCUAUUCUAUAAAUUAAAAGUUUUAACAAUUAAAAUUAAUUAUUAUAAAUUAUAUGUUAUACUGAGAAAAGAGAAAUCAGUAUUCAAUAAAAAAAACCAUAAGCAUAGAAAACAAUUAUAAAAAUGUAUUUAAUAUUGUACCACUGUGGAGUUGUAUCCAUACAUUACAGACCAAUGAAGUGGCUGUGUUAAUGUUGAGAUUCAUAUGAUAAAAAUGUUUUAUGGAUGCUGAUUAUAGUGUUAAUACCUAUAGACAUAUUCACUUUAAUAUUCAAUUUAUUUAAGUCAAAGGACAUUCUAAAUGCUUGGACUACUUAUCAGGCUUUCUCAUCUAUGGUCUAAAUCGCACAAGUUAUGGGCUUGCUCAACUGUUGCUGAAGUUUGUGUACAUUCUAAUUACAAGAGUUUUGCUGAAAAACAAAGAAUUUUUGAAAAAGUAAAUAAAAUUAUGAAACUUCUAAAACACAUUUAUUUCAUUGAUUAAAUGUUCUAAUGUGAUGUGUUUUAGGACAACGGUUGCAAUUAACGACAAUAGAGAAAAUUUAAUGAUUUGGUCGGACAAAUGUUGUUUUUUUUUGAGUUAUUCAAUUGACGGAGUUAUAGAUCAUUUGACAAUCACAUCUUUAACAGUAAGUAUUGCAAUUAUUAUCUUUUAAUCAACUUUACAAAAGCAUUGGCCCUUGUUUCAGUAUACAAAGUGAAAAGAGUAUACAGAAUUUCUAGAACCUUGCUAUGAUUCUUCUAUUUUGAAAUUAUAAUUUUUAAUUCCAAUUAAACUGGGUUUUAUAUUGGUUUUACUAUAAUAAUGGUUGCAAUUAAUAACAGUACAGAAAAUGUAAUGUUAUUUAAUUUAAUGAUUAUUAUUCUAAAUAUUUUAUAAUUUUCUUAAUAUUUAAUUUGCCUUUAUUUUGAAUGUGUUAUUUAAUUCUUUAUUUUUAUAUGUUUUUUUAGAACAGAACUUCAGACAAAUAUUCAAGAUAUUCUAUCAGAAUCAAUUUUAUGUUUAAACAGUCUCUGUGAUUUGAUAAAAUUUUGAUUUAAUUAUUGUUAUUUUAAAAAAAUUGUGAAAUAUUUUAGUCUCUUCCUAUCAAACAUCCUUUUCUCUUUUUUUGGGGAGAAAUCCAGAUAAUUUUAAUAACUUCACCAUUCUUUAGAUACAUGUUGAGCAAAUUCAUAAUUAGUGCGAUCUAGACCCUGAAUGAGAAAUGCCUGAUAAGGAGACUAAGGAUUUAGAUAAUCCCAUGAUUAACGUAACUUGAAGAAGGAAGUCCACAUUCUUAUAGAUACUAAAGCUAUAAUCAUCAUUGAUAACAUUCUUGUUUCGUAGAUAUUUUAAUAUGGAUGUGGUCAUUGCUUUAGUCAGUAAGGUAUGCUUACUAGUUCACAUUGAUACAAUGUUAUAUAUGUAUAUACAAAUAUUUUCUAUGCUCAUGGAUUUCUUAAUCCAUAUUCCUUUAUAUUGCCUUAGCAUGACAUGUACAUUUUAAUAGUUGAUUCUAAAUAUAAAAUUAAUAUUUAUAGCUUAGCUUGGUAAUUUUUAACCAUGUUACUGCUUCUAUGGGUUUGAAUAGUUGUGUACUAUCUCGAAGGAAUUUGAUGGCAUUAGUUUGUGAAUCUAUUAUUUUAAAUCAUUUACUCAAUGUCCGUGUCAUUUGGGCAUAAAACACUAUUGAAAUCAAUAGGUAUAAUGUUUUUUGUUAGUAUAUUGGACAGUUGAACUGUAAAUAUUGAAGAAGCCCCGUCCUGUUUCCACUCCAAAUUGUGUUCUUGCAUUCAAUUCCUCUAUGGUUAUAUAAUAUAAUAGUCACUAUUUCAAAUUAUUUAAUUUACAUUUAAAUGUCUAAG